GACGAACGCUGGCGGCGUGCUUAACACAUGCAAGUCGAGCGGUAAGGCCCCUUCGGGGGUACGACGAGCGGCGAACGGGUGAGUAACACGUGGGUGACCUGCCCUCAGCUCUGGGAUAAGCCUGGGAAACUGGGUCUAAUACCGGAUAUGACUCCAUGACGCAUGUCGUGGGGUGGAAAGCCUUGUGCGGCUAGGGAUGGGCCCGCGGCCUAUCAGCUUGUUGGUGGGGUGAUGGCCUACCAAGGCGACGACGGGUAGCCGGCCUGAGAGGGCGACCGGCCACACUGGGACUGAGAUACGGCCCAGACUCCUACGGGAGGCAGCAGUGGGGAAUCUUGCGCAAUGGGCGAAAGCCUGACGCAGCGACGCCGCGUGAGGGAUGACGGCCU
rnacentral:rRNA from 1 species